rnacentral:lncRNA from 10 species
CAGCCAAGAGUAUUUAAUUUUGAUGACAUACUGACUGACUAAAAAAUCAACUUCUGACAUGUAAAAAGAAACACCUAUCUGUCUUGUUCACCACCACAUCCUCAGUCUAGCAAAAUGCCUGGCACAUAAUAGGUAGUCAUGACUUUUUUAAAUAAUUUUUUUUCGAGACAGGGUCUCACUCUGUCACACAGGCUGGAGUGCAGUGGCGUGAUCUCGACUUACUGCAGCCUCUGCCUCCCAGGCUCAAGUGAUCCUCCCACCUCAGCCUCCUAAGUAGCUGGGACUACCAGCACAAGUCACCAUACCCGGCUAAUUCAUAUUUUUUAAUGAAUGUAUGAAUUUUUAGGGCCAGAGGAGAUGAGUGUUGGGAUGGGCUAUGAGAGAGGGCUCCUUGCCAGGAGGCAGGGGUGAACACAGUGAUAUCUGGAAUCAUUUCUGUCUAGAGGAGCUGUAAAGAGUGAGAGAAUGCGGUCUUCCACAAGAGCAUGGGGGCAGUGUUAGAUGCAACACUCCUGAGAAGUGAACGGCAUCAUCAAUAACAAACUCCCUGACUGAAAUGCUCAGGUAGUCAUCCUGUCUUUUCAGCCACCCGGGUGAGCAAAAGACAGAACAAUGGCUCAGGAAUGGGGACAACUCAGGCAAAAGGGCCUAGUCACAGGGGUGAGGUUCUUUCCAGAAUCCUCAGCACACAGCAACACCCCCAAAGGGGGCUCUAGGCUCUUGCUUUACAAAAACCGCUAGGGGCCUGUGUGUCAGCAUGGCUGACAGGAAGCGGUUAUACUGAGGAAAAAGAGAUGAAGUCAAAAGAUAAAGUUGACAGAUAUUAGGGUUGUUUCCACAUUUUGCCUAUGAACUUGCCUCUUCUAGCCUUUGCCAAGAACAAUGAAAUAAGAAGUCUGAAGAGCUGAAUGUCCAUGCCAGGGUGCUUCAUCAAAGCACCUCAGGGAUCCUAGACUUGACUGCCGAGAGGAGGCAUUUUAGUCAGGCAAAGAGGUUGGAGGUGUGGUAUGGGUGCUUAAAGUUGGCUAAGUGCUAAAAAAGGUGGACAGUUUGGACAACCAGUCUAUGAGUCCCAUGGCAGGGAAGGAGGUAACCUAAGAGACAAGCAGGGGUCCAAAAGAGAGGUCUGGAAACUCAUCAGUUGCAGCAUCAAGAAAGGUAUUCAAAGGCAAGGGCCCUUGCCCUUCCAUCCCAGACUUCCACUGUGUCACUUUUCAUGAGGGAAAGGAAGGAGGGCACAGUGAGUUUUAGAGGCACAUGCAUGCACACACACAUAUAUGGAGUUGCCUCUGGGAAUGUAAAUAAAUAUUCAUGAACAGCUCAGUGUAUGAAAAGCAAGGACAGAGGAUGAAAAAUGGUGCCAAUUAGAAAGAAAGGGUGGUAUCUAUUUUUAAAGUGGCUGAAUAAACAGUAAAGGAUUGCUUGCUAAAAAUACUGUGCUUGACCCCCUCCCCAGUGGCAGAGU